rnacentral:rRNA from 1 species
GACGAACGCUGGCGGCGUGCCUAAUACAUGCAAGUUGAGCGCUGAAGGUUGGUACUUGUACCGACUGGAUGAGCAGCGAACGGGUGAGUAACGCGUGGGGAAUCUGCCUUUGAGCGGGGGACAACAUUUGGAAACGAAUGCUAAUACCGCAUAAAAACUUUAAACACAAGUUUUAAGUUUGAAAGAUGCAAUUGCAUCACUCAAAGAUGAUCCCGCGUUGUAUUAGCUAGUUGGUGAGGUAAAGGCUCACCAAGGCGAUGAUACAUAGCCGACCUGAGAGGGUGAUCGGCCACAUUGGGACUGAGACACGGCCCAAACUCCUACGGGAGGCAGCAGUAGGGAAUUUUCGGCAAUGGACGAAAGUCUGACCGAGCAACGCCGCGUGAGUGAAGAAGGUUUUCGGAUCGUAAAACUCUGUUGGUAGAGAAGAACGUUGGUGAGAGUGGAAAGCUCAUCAAGUGACGGUAACUACCCAGAAAGGGACGGCUAACUACGUG